UGAGGAAUAUUGGUCAAUGGCCGGGAGGCUGAACCAGCCAAGUCGCGUGAGGGAAGACGGCCCUAAGGGUUGUAAACCUCUUUUGUCAGGGAGCAAAGCCGCUUACGUGUAAGCGGGGGGAGAGUACCUGAAGAAAAAGCAUCGGCUAACUCCGUGCCAGCAGCCGCGGUAAUACGGAGGAUGCGAGCGUUAUCCGGAUUUAUUGGGGUUAAAGGGUGCGUAGGCCGGCGUUUAAGUCAGCGGUAAAAUAGAGAGGCUCAACCUCUUCGAGCCGUUGAAACUGGAUGCCUCGAGUGGGCGAGAAGUAUGCGGAAUGCGUGGUGUAGCGGUGAAAUGCAUAGAUAUCACGCAGAACUCCGAUUGCGAAGGCAGCAUACCGGCGCCCGACUGACGCUGAAGCACGAAAGCGUGGGUAUCGAACAGG
rnacentral:rRNA from 1 species